rnacentral:rRNA from 1 species
AUUGAACGCUGGCGGCAUGCUUUACACAUGCAAGUCGAACGGUAGCAGUAGAAAGCUUGCUUUCUAGCUGACGAGUGGCGAACGGGUGAGUAAUACAUCGGAACGUACCAAGUAAUGGGGGAUAACUACUCGAAAGAGUGGCUAAUACCGCAUACGCCCUUUGGGGGAAAGCAGGGGAUCUUAGGACCUUGCGUUAUUUGAGCGGCCGAUGUCUGAUUAGCUAGUUGGUGGGGUAAGAGCCCACCAAGGCGACGAUCAGUAGCGGGUCUGAGAGGAUGAUCCGCCACACUGGGACUGAGACACGGCCCAGACUCCUACGGGAGGCAGCAGUGGGGAAUUUUGGACAAUGGGCGAAAGCCUGAUCCAGCCAUGCCGCGUGUAUGAAGAAGGCCUUCGGGUUGUAAAGUACUUUUGUUAGGGAAGAAAAGCUUGUUGCUAAUAUCAUCAAGCCAUGACGGUACCUAAAGAAUAAGCACCGGCUAACUACGUG